UGAAUCUUCCCCAUAUUCGAAUAUCUGAAUGUCAGACUCAAGCUGAUGAUAUAUGAGGUAUGGUCCUCGCUGUAUCAAUCAAGUCCCAUUGAAAUAUUGAAACUUUGUUCAUACAUCUUUGAAUGACCUUUUAUGUGCUGACAAUAUGUUCUGAAAUGAAGAGAUUUUACCCCUGAUGAAGUCUUGGAACAAGAAGAAACGCGUUGGGUUAUUUAUCUAUCUAUUAUCUGAUGUUACCUCCGAAUCUACAAUAAGGAGAAGGAGGAAAUCGUAGUGAUAUAUCUACGCUUUUUCCUCAUCACUACAAACUGAUUGUUCAAAUUGUGCGACAAAUGUAAAUGUAUCAACUCUGUAUACUUAUGAACAUUUG